rnacentral:rRNA from 1 species
AGUGAACGCUGGCGGUAGGCCUAACACAUGCAAGUCGAACGGCAGCACAGUAAGAGCUUGCUCUUACGGGUGGCGAGUGGCGGACGGGUGAGGAAUACAUCGGAAUCUACUUUUUCGUGGGGGAUAACGUAGGGAAACUUACGCUAAUACCGCAUACGACCUACGGGUGAAAGCAGGGGAGCUUCGGACCUUGCGCGAUUCAAUGAGCCGAUGUCGGAUUAGCUAGUUGGCGGGGUAAAGGCCCACCAAGGCGACGAUCCGUAGCUGAUCUGAGAGGAUGAUCAGCCACACUGGAACUGAGACACGGUCCAGACUCCUACGGGAGGCAGCAGUGGGGAAUAUUGGACAAUGGGCGCAAGCCUGAUCCAGCCAUGCCGCGUGGGUGAAGAAGGCCUUCGGGUUGUAAAGCCCUGUUGUUGGGAAAGAAAAGCAGCAGGUUAAUACCCCGAUGUUCUGACGGUACCCAAAGAAUAAGCACCGGCUAACUUCGUG